rnacentral:rRNA from 1 species
CCUACGGGAGGCAGCAGUGAGGAAUAUUGGUCAAUGGACGAGAGUCUGAACCAGCCAAGUAGCGUGCAGGAUGACUGCCCUAUGAGUUGUAAACUUCUUUUAUAUGGGAAUAAAAUGUUUCACGUGUGGGAUUUUGUAUGUACCAUAUGAAUAAGGAUCGGCUAACUCCGUGCCAGCAGCCGCGGUAAUACGGAGGAUUCGAUCGUUAUCCGGAUUUAUUGGGUUUAAAGGGAGCGUAGGUGGAUUGUUAAGUUAGUGGUGAAAGUUUGGGGCGCAACCGUAAAAGUGCAUUUGAAACUGGCAGUCUUGAGGACAGUAGAGGGAGGCGGAAUGCGUGGUGUAGCAGUGAAAUGCUUAGAUAUCACGAAGAACUCCGAUUGCGAAGGCAGUUCACUGGACUGCAACUGACACUGAUGCUCGAAAGUGUGGGUAGCAAACAGGAUUAGAUACCCUAGUAGUC